rnacentral:rRNA from 1 species
AGCUCCAAUAGCGUAUAUUAAAGUUGUUGUGGUUAAAAAGCUCGUAGUUGGAUUUCGGCGGGUAUAGGUUGGUUUGAAUUGCUUCAAUACUGACUUUUUUACCCGUGUGUUUUGCCAGAAUUUAACGGGUGAUCUUCGCCGAUUGUCUGUUAGAACUGACAGGUUUACUUUGAAAAAAUUAGAGUGCUCAAAGCAAGCUUGAUUGCUUGAAUAUUCGUGCAUGGAAUAAUAGAAUAGGAAGUCGUUUCUAUUUUGUUGGUUUUCGGAAAUCGACUUAAUGAUUAAUAGGGACUGCCGGGGGCAUACGUAUUGCGGCGGGAGAGGUGAAAUUCGUGGAUCGCCGCAAGACGAACGACAGCGAAAGCAUUUGUCAAGAAUGUUCUCAUUA